rnacentral:rRNA from 1 species
AUUGAACGCUGGCGGCAUGCUUUACACAUGCAAGUCGAACGGCAGCGGGGGCUUCGGCCUGCCGGCGAGUGGCGAACGGGUGAGUAAUGCAUCGGAACGUGCCCAUGUCGUGGGGGAUAACGUAGCGAAAGCUACGCUAAUACCGCAUAUUCUGUGAGCAGGAAAGCAGGGGAUCGCAAGACCUUGCGCUGAUUGAGCGGCCGAUGUCAGAUUAGCUAGUUGGUGAGGUAAAGGCUCACCAAGGCGACGAUCUGUAGCGGGUCUGAGAGGAUGAUACGCCACACUGGAACUGAGACACGGUCCAGACUCCUACGGGAGGCAGCAGUGGGGAAUAUUGGACAAUGGGGGGAACCCUGAUCCAGCAAUGCCGCGUGUGUGAAGAAGGCCUUCGGGUUGUAAAGCACUUUAAGUUAGGAAGAAGGGUAGUGGUUUAAGAGGCGAUUACUUUGACAGUACUAACAGAAUAAGCACCGGCUAACUCUGUGCCAGCCGCCGCGGUAA